rnacentral:rRNA from 1 species
CGCCCAACAGCUAGCCCCCUCCACCAACACCAACAAACCCACAUCAAUAACCCCUAAUACCCUUAAACCACCCCCGAACAAACCAUUUUCCCCCCUUAGUACAGGCGAUAGAAAAG